rnacentral:rRNA from 1 species
GGGGAAUAUUGCACAAUGGGGGAAACCCUGAUGCAGCAACGCCGCGUGAAGGAUGAAGGUUUUCGGAUUGUAAACUUCUUUAGUCAGGGACGAAUAAAUGACGGUACCUGAAGAAUAAGCCACGGCUAACUACGUGCCAGCAGCCGCGGUAAUACGUAGGUGGCGAGCGUUGUCCGGAAUUACUGGGUGUAAAGGGCGUGUAGGCGGGAAUGUAAGUCAGAUGUGAAAUCCCAGGGCUUAACUCUGGAGCUGCUUUCGAUACGGGCAGACUUGAGGGAUGUAGGGGAGAACGGAAUUCCUGGUGGAGCGGUGGAAUGCGCAGAUAUCAGGAGGAACACCAGUGGCGAAGGCGGUUCUCUGGACAUUUCCUGACGCUGAGAAGCGAAAGCGUGGGGAGCAAACA